rnacentral:rRNA from 1 species
AUUGAACGCUGGCGGCAGGCUUAACACAUGCAAGUCGAACGAGUGGCGAACGGGUGAUUAAUGUCUGGGAAACUGCCUGAUGGAGGGGGAUAACUACUGGAAACGGUAGCUAAUACCGCAUACCAUCGGAUGUGCCCAUAUGGGAUUAGCUAGUAGGUGGGGUAAAGGCUCACCUAGGCGACGAUCCCUAGCUGGUCCGGGAGGAUGACCAGCCACACUGGAACUGAGACACGGUCCAGACUCCAACGGGAGGCAGCAGUGGGGAAUAUUGCACAAGGGGGGAAAGCCGGAUGCAGCCAUGCCGCGUGUAUGAAGAAGGCCUUCGGUUUGUAAAGUACUUUAAGCGGGGAGGCGGUACCCGCAGAAGAAGCAACGGCUAACUCCGUGCCAGCAGCCGCGGUAAUUC